UACGUAGGGCGCAAGCGUUGUCCGGAAUUAUUGGGCGUAAAGAGCUCGUAGGCGGUUUGUCGCGUCUGUCGUGAAAGCUUGGGGCUUAACCCCAAGUCUGCGGUGGAUGCGGGCAGACUAGAGGCAGGUAGGGGAGAACGGAAUUCCCGGUGUAGCGGUGAAAUGCGCAGAUAUCGGGAGGAACACCGGUGGCGAAGGCGGUUCUCUGGGCCUGUACUGACGCUGAGGAGCGAAAGCGUGGGGAGCGAACAGG
rnacentral:rRNA from 1 species